AGAGUUUGAUCAUGGCUCAGGAUAAACGCUGGCGGCGUGCUUCAGGCAUGCAAGUCGAACGGACCUUCGGGUCAGUGGCGGACGGGUGAGUAACACGUAAGUAACCUGCCCAGAAGUGGGGAAUAACUAGCCGAAAGGCUGGCUAAUACCGCAUGUGAUGGUUGUUCUCUGGAGCAAUCAUGAAAGGCGAAAGUCGCUUCUGGAGGGGCUUGCGGCCGAUUAGCUAGUUGGUGGGGUAAAGGCCUACCAAGGCUUCGAUCGGUAGCUGGUCUGAGAGGACGGACAGCCACACGGGGACUGAGAUACGGCCCCGACUCCUACGGGAGGCAGCAGCUAGGAAUCUUGGGAAUGGGCGAAAGCCUGACCCAGCAACGCCGCGUGGGCGAUGAAGGCCUUCGGGUCGUAAAGCCCUUUUGCAGGGGAAGAUGAUGACGGUACCCUGCGAAUAAGCCACGGCUAACUACGUGCCAGCAGCCGCGGUAAUACGUAGGUGGCAAGCGUUGUCCGGAUUUACUGGGCGUAAAGGGCGUGCAGGCGGUCUGUUAAGUUCAGGGUGAAAGCUCCCGGCUCAACUGGGAGAGGUCCUUGGAUACUGGCAGACUCGAGGAGGGUAGAGGAGAGUGGAAUUCCCGGUGUAGUGGUGAUAUGCGUAGAUAUCGGGAGGAACACCAGUGGCGAAGGCGGCUCUCUGGGCCCUACCUGACGCUGAGACGCGAAAGCGUGGGGAGCGAACCGGAUUAGAUACCCGGGUAGUCCACGCCGUAAACUAUGGACACUAGGUGUAAAGGGUAUCGACCCCCUUUGUGCCGAAGCUAACGCAAUAGUGUCCCGCCUGGGGAGUACGGCCGCAAGGCUAAAACUCAAAUGAAUUGACGG
rnacentral:rRNA from 1 species